rnacentral:rRNA from 1 species
CGUAACAAGGUCUCCGUAGGUGAACCUGCGGAGGGAUCAUUACACAAAUAUGAAGGCGGGCUGGAACCUCUCGGGGUUACAGCCUUGCUGAAUUAUUCACCCUUGUCUUUUGCGUACUUCUUGUUUCCUUGGUGGGUUCGCCCACCACUAGGACAAACAUAAACCUUUUGUAAUUGCAAUCAGCGUCAGUAACAAAUUAAUAAUUACAACUUUCAACAACGGAUCUCUUGGUUCUGGCAUCGAUGAAGAACGCAGCGAAAUGCGAUAAGUAGUGUGAAUUGCAGAAUUCAGUGAAUCAUCGAAUCUUUGAACGCACAUUGCGCCCUUUGGUAUUCCAAAGGGCAUGCCUGUUCGAGCGUCAUUUGUACCCUCAAGCUUUGCUUGGUGUUGGGCGUCUUGUCUCUAGCUUUGCUGGAGACUCGCCUUAAAGUAAUUGGCAGCCGGCCUACUGGUUUCGGAGCGCAGCACAAGUCGCGCUCUCUAUCAGCAAAGGUCUAGCAUCCAUUAAGCCUUUUUUUCAACUUUUGACCUCGGAUCAGGUAGGGAUACCCGCUGAACUUAAGCAUAUCA